CCAGACUCCUACGGGAGGCAGCAGUGGGGAAUAUUGCACAAUGGGGGAAACCCUGAUGCAGCGACGCCGCGUGAAGGACGAAGUAUUUCGGUACGUAAACUUCUAUCAGCAGGGAAGAAAAUGACGGUACCUGACCAAGAAGCCCCGGCUAACUACGUGCCAGCAGCCGCGGUAAUACGCAGGGGGCAAGCGUUAUCCGGAUUUACUGGGUGUAAAGGGAGCGUAGACGGCCAUGCAAGUCUGAUGUGAAAACCCGGGGCUCAACCCCGGGACUGCAUUGGAAACUGUGCGGCUGGAGUGUCGGAGAGGCAAGUGGAAUUCCUAGUGUAGCGGUGAAAUGCGUAGAUAUUAGGAGGAACACCAGUGGCGAAGGCGGCUUACUGGACUGUAACUGACGUUGAGGCUCGAAAGCGUGGGGAGCAAACAGGAUUAGAUACCCGCGUA
rnacentral:rRNA from 1 species